CCUUCGGGCCAAUGAGCAUGAGCUACGGGAUGCAGUACACAGAGAGAGGCUGGGACAGUCUAGCGAGGAGAGAGCCUGGCUGGGAAGCCCCCGCCCACCUCCCCAUCUGAUGCAGCGAGAGAUGAAGGGAAGGGGAAAAGGCAGAAGAGCAGCAGGCAGAGAAUGUGCCGAGGGCCGAGGACGGCCGAGGAGGGUGGCCUGGCCGUGGAGCCCUCUCCUCGCUCACGGCAGCCGGCGUGACUCAUCCCGGGCCUCCAGCCCAGCAGCGUCCCUGGCAGCGUCUGCCAAUGCUGUAAUCAACAUUUAUUUUGCAGUCACCCACACACCCAAGUCGAUUCCGGAUUUAUGCCAGGAGAGGAGUAAAGAAUGCCUCCCUCAUUCACGUAAUGCCUUCAAGUAUCUCCGGAGGGGAGGGACAGCUGGGGAAACACUCAGCCCGAGAGUGUACACACGCAGGCGAGACGCACGCGGCCGUCCAUGCGAGCCAUCAUCAGCGGCAGGACCGCGCCUGUUCCCUCCUUAGUCACCUAACAACCUGCCCUGUCACAUGGCGAGUUGUGGGUCAGAACCCACGUGAGGGGUGGACACCUGCGGUCCAGCCAGGAGGAUGAAGGUGGGGCCAGGGGGCAUCCCCUGCGACAUGCAGAUGUGAGAUGAGAGGUUCAGGGCAGACUGCGGAGAGGAAGCAGGGGAAAGAGGCUGGAGCCACAGGACGGGGGUGACACAGCCAGCCUCGGAUGGUCAUUCAGUCGUGUCCGACUCUGCAAACGCUAUGGACUCUAGCCUGCUGGGCUCCUCUGUCUGUGGAUUCUCCAGGCAAGAACACUGGAGUGGGUUGCCAUUCUCUUCUCCAGAGGAUCUCCCCAGGGAUCGAACCACAUCUCCCGCAUUGCAGGCGGAUUCUGUACCACUAAGCCACGGGGGAAGCACGAUACUUUCUUAAUAUCACUAAAUAUAUCUGCAGUUAAGACCUACAAAGGAAUGAAUGCAGUGUCUCUGGGACCACUGGGCACCUUCUUAGUCUCAAUGCUACCAGCUGGGAUGACCCACCCUCAGCAAACCGCCCCAACAGGUCACAGGGUGAAGGGCAGAGUGGAAGACCCCCCAUUUUGGCCUCGAUUCCUUGAAACUAAAAUGUCCAGGAAGCUUCUUGGGUGAAGACCACGCAUACGCACAUGCACACGUGAGUGGGCCAGAGCCAAGGGUCACAUUCCUUCCAGCAUUGUGGCCAUGACUGUUCAGAGUCCUGGUUCAGGAACACGCAGGGCCUCCUCCGAACACCCCCAGAUCAGAGUGCCAAAGUGCACGAUGAAACAAGCUCUUUUGGGACCCAGAAACACAGGCCGGGCAGGGGGACAAGCACACCUGCUCGUCCAGGCAGAGCCCUUGACGGUUUACAAAGCCACUCCCGGGCACGAUGCCACUGGGUCCUCCCCGCCCGGUCUGAGCCGCCGUCUGUAUGGGCAGCACCUGUGUAGGCAGUGUUCUUAUUCCUGUUCGGCUGGUGGCAUAAUCCUGAUGUUAGCAGACUGGCUGGCGGUCCUGAGAACACCAGUGCCAGCCUGUGCCAAGUCUAAGAGCGUUAUCUAAUUUAAUACCGACCACAGUCUGCACAGCAUAGCACAGAGUCUGUGUGGGGCUUACCAGGUGGCACUAGUGGUCAAGAACCCGCCCGCCAAAGAAGGAGACACAAGAGAUGUGGGUUCAAUCCCUGGGUCGGGAAGAUCCCCUGGAGAAGGAAAUGGCAACCUCCUCCAGUAUUCUUGCCUGGAGAAUGCCAUGGACAGAGCAGUCUGGUGGGCUACAGUCCAUGGGGUUGCAAAGAGCUGGAUAUGACUGAGUGACUAACUCUCCUCACUCUUCACUAUAUGGCCAGUUGUGUUAGUUGCGUAGCCAGGCUAACUUUGUUGGACUCAUGAACAAACUGGACUUAAGGAACACGCUCUCGGAACGCAACUUGUUCAUAUGUAGAUUUACUAUAAUUUAAAGACAGGUUGAGAAGUGCUGGUUUAGAGCUGAGACUUUGGAAUCUGAAGGCCCGAGUUCAAAUCCCACCUCUGCUUCCUCCCAUCCCCUUUCUCCUGACUAAAGUGGGGCUGGGUGCCAACAGGACCUGCCCUUAGAAAUGAAAGCAUGUAAAGUGUAACCCAGCAGCCUGUUUGCUACUAUUAUUAGCUGCCGGGAAUUGGCCUGGGGCCACAAAGCGACUUCCUAGAAGAGCCAGCUCCUUGUGCCAGGUCUUGAAGGGCAGACUGACCAUCGGGCCCUCUGCCACCCUGGAACAGUGAGUGGCUGGGGGCCCCAGGAAACUGGUCUGUCUCUGAAGCCUGAUCACCUUGCCUCUGCCAGGAGCGAGCUGCCUUCCUGGGCUCCCCUUUCAUCUCCAGGCCAGGUGCUGUAGGCACCUUAAUGGGGUGUAAGAUGUUCUUGCUCAAACCAGAAAAACCCGAAGGGCAGCCAGGCUCGCCCUGGCAGGUGUGGGUUUGGCACUGGGUGUCUUAAGAGGCGGGCUGGGCCAGGGGGGCAGUGGUACCCUUCUCGGCCUGGCCCCAGGAUCUCGGCUCUGGGAGAUGCUGCGAGAGAUGGUGUCUGCUCCCUGGAUACCUCCAUCCCUUCGCUGGAGCACAAACCUCCU